rnacentral:rRNA from 1 species
UUAAUUUGAGAGUUUGAUCCUGGCUCAGGACGAACGCUGGCGGCGUGCCUAAUACAUGCAAGUCGAACGAACUCUGGUAUUGAUUGGUGCUUGCAUCAUGAUUUGCAUUUGAGUGAGUGGCGAACUGGUGAGUAACACGUGGGAAACCUGCCCAGAAGCGGGGGAUAACACCUGGAAACAGAUGCUAAUACCGCAUAACAACUUGGACCGCAUGGUCCGAGUUUGAAAGAUG